rnacentral:rRNA from 1 species
GAUGAACGCUGGCGGCGUGCCUAAUACAUGCAAGUAGAACGCUGAAGCUUGGUGCUUGCACCGAGCGGAUGAGUUGCGAACGGGUGAGUAACGCGUAGGUAACCUGCCUCUUAGCGGGGGAUAACUAUUGGAAACGAUAGCUAAUACCGCAUAAAAGUCUAUAUCGCAUGAUAUUGAUUUGAAAGGUGCAAAUGCAUCACUAAGAGAUGGACCUGCGUUGUAUUAGCUAGUUGGUUAGGUAACGGCUCACCAAGGCGACGAUACAUAGCCGACCUGAGAGGGUGAACGGCCACACUGGGACGGAGACACGGCCCAGACUCCCGAGGGAGGCAGCAGUAGGGAAACUUUGGGAAUAGGGGCAAACCUGACCGAGCCACGCCGGGUGAGUGAAGAAGGUUUUCGGAUCGUAAAGAUCUGUUGUAUGAGGAGAAAGAGUGUGAGAGUGGAAAGUUCACACUGUGACGGUAACUUACCAGAAAGGGACGGCUAACUACGUG